CAGUGGGGAAUCUUGCACAAUGGGCGAAAGCCUGAUGCAGCGACGCCGCGUGGGGGAUGAAGCAUCUCGGUGUGUAAACCCCUUUCGAUUCGGACGAAUGCCCGCAAGGGAGUGACGGUACGGAUAUAAGAAGCCCCGGCUAACUACGUGCCAGCAGCCGCGGUAAGACGUAGGGGGCCAGCGUUGUUCGGAAUUACUGGGUGUAAAGGGUUCGUAGGCGGUGCGGCAAGUUGGGAGUGAAAUCUCUGGGCUUAACCCAGAGGCUGCUUCCAAAACUGCUGUGCUCGAGUGUGGGAGAGGCGCGUGGAAUUGCAGGUGUAGCGGUGAAAUGCGUAGAUAUCUGCAGGAACACCCGUGGCGAAAGCGGCGCGCUGGACCACUACUGACGCUGAGGAACGAAAGCUAGGGGAGCAAACAGGAUUAGAUACCCUGGUAGUCCUAGCCCUAAACGAUCAGGACUUGGGGUGCCACCCGUUCGGGUGUCGUCCCGGAGCUAACGCG
rnacentral:rRNA from 1 species